CUAGCUAGGGAGAUUUUUUGUCUCUUUAUUUUCUUUUCAAAACCAAAUCCUGGAAACAAGUUUUAUUUCUUCUCUUACCUUGUUAUUUCACCAUUUUUCUUCCCCACAUUCUACUGAUUUUCAAGACAAACCUCAAACAAAAAGAAAGGUUAUUGGUUUUCAAGUGCAAAUUCUAGAUCAACCCACACUCCAAAUUUAGCUGAAUUUGGGUUCUACAAAGUUGUCUUCCUAUCCUGGAAUGUACUUGUGAAUGUUACAAUUAAUCGUGUACGCAAAGAUAGAAAGCAAGACGACUCUACUUUAGAAAUGUCAGGCCCAUGGGGGCCCCCCACUUACGAGUGGCAACCCGGAAGACUGUUAGCUGUAACGGUAGCUGGUAUCUGACUACCCUGACAUCGGCGCUGGCCAAAACAAUAGUAGAGUCACUUAAGUCGAUAGACAACUCUUUAAUUUCGUUAUGAAUUUCAAUUGUGGAAAGCUUUUGUACAUUAUUUUUAGCUGCUGCUCAUGUCCAUUUCUUUAUAUUUCGUGCAAGUACGUCAUAAUACUUGUGGUGUAUUUUUAACGCUAUGAAAGUUAGUAUUUUGUUAAGCUUAUGAUGAUAUCAUAUAUCACGGGGCUGCUGGUGUGGCUUGCUUUACAAAUAUCCAUGUCUAUUUUUCUUGUCGUUCUUUUUGGAUACUACCUUGUUUUUGAUGUGUAUAGUGGCUAUUUAUUUUGCAAUGAAAUGAUAUGUUUGGAUUAAGUUUGUAAAGUUUAAGGUAUGUUUAGAUUCGGUGUAUAUAGAACCUCUUUUGGAACUUACAAUUCUUGGAACGUUAAUGUAUUAGCAUGCUU